rnacentral:misc_RNA from 1 species
AUACUACCUCAUUUGGCUGAGGAUGUAUGGCUGAAUCUUCCUUUUCCAUAUUUGACCGAGGACGGUUCCAUUGCAAAAUUUGUUUUUGAAUCAAAGUGGCCUGCUUUGAAUGAGAAAUGGCUUUCUUUUCCUAAUGAAGAAAUUGAUUUCUGGGGAAAAAUUCUUGAGCUGAGAACAGAGGUGAACAAAGUUCUGGAAGCUGCUCGUGUGGGGAAGUUAAUUGGUUCUAGUUUAGAAGCAAAGGUAUAUCUGCACACACCUGAUGCUAGUUUGGCUUCAAGGUUACGUGAAAUGUGUCUGGCCAGCAAUGAUGCAGAUGCACUGCAUCGUAUAUUCAUCACAUCUCAGGCAGAAGUCCUUGCUCAUUUGGAUAACAAACUUAUUGAAACUAUAUCAUACACUGGAGAGUUUCUCAUUCAAGGAAGCAAUAGAGUUUGGAUUGGUGUGUCAUGCGCAGAGGGCUUGAAAUGUGAGAGAUGCUGGAAUUACACUCC